GACGAACGCUGGCGGCGUGCCUAAUACAUGCAAGUCGAACGCAGUGGGGACGGGUGAGUAACACGUGGGUAACCUCCCAUCAGACGGGAUAACACUUGGAAACAGGUGCUAAACCGACACUGAUGGAUGGACCCGCGGUGCAUUAGCAAGUUGGGGAGGUAACGGCUCACCAAGGCCACGAUGCAUAGCCGACCUGAGAGGGUGAUCGGCCACCCUGGGACUGAGACACGGCCCAGACUCCGACGGGGGGCAGCAGUAGGGAAUCUUCGGCAAUGGGCGAAAGUCUGACCGAGAAAAGCCGCGUGAGUGAAGAAGGUUUACUGAUCGUAAAACUCUGUUGUUAGAGAAGCGGUAUCUAACAAGAAAGCAACGGCUAACUACGUGCCAGCAGCCGCGGUAAUAA
rnacentral:rRNA from 1 species